rnacentral:misc_RNA from 1 species
GUAAACUCUGCCAAUUUUUUUUAUAAGCAAAACUUUUAUUGAUAGCAAUAACUAAGAAACACUUAGCGUGAACGAGUUCAAAUAAAUUCAGACCAAUAGGUCAGCCCAAUACACUCAAUCUUAUUACACUUAAACUUAGCCAUUCUUAGCAACUAGUUUAUGUCCAUGUAAAUGCAACAGGGCUACUAACUUUGUAUUGAGCAUUGCUCCAAACAAUCCAACCAAAUGCAGCUCCAACAGCAGCCUUCCUACUCUUCUUGUCCUUAAAUGUUGCUGUAUAUCUUUGUUUUUCUCCAACCUUUUUAAAAACCAUCUUUGCAGGUUUCACAGAUACUUGUACAGUCGAUGGUGCAGUCACUGUCACUUUAUACACAGAAUUGACAGGGCCAACAUUGGUCAAUUCUCGACUAUAUUGGAUGGUUGUCUUGUUCUUGAACAAGACUGAGAAUGAUGGGUAAUUGAGAUCACCAAGAUCACUAAAUUUGUUUGAGCAAGAUACAUUCAGUUUCAGUUGACUCAUGUACAUUUCAAUAGUGUCAUGGGGAUAACCCAAUGAACAGAAGAAUUUUGCGUAGUCUUCUUUAGAAAUAUCAUAUACGAGGCCAGGAGAGAGAGCCUUCUUUGGGUCUACAUGACCAGAACCAUAGGCCCAUGGGUUUGAAGAUGCACCUUUUGCAAGAUCUCGUAUGGGAGAGUUGGUGUUGUCAACACUGUAGGCAGAAGUCAUGAUUGCAGAUUUGAUUGCACUUGGACUCCAAGUUGGAUACGCUGCUUUGAGUAAUGCAACAAUUCCACUUGCAUGAGGACAUGCCAUGGAUGUUCCUGAAAUAAUAUUGAACUUGGUGAUCCUUUUAUCCUCUUCCAACUGAGAUGGACUAACGGCUUCAGACCAUGCAGCCAGGAUGCUAACUCCAGGAGCUAUGACAUCAGGUUUCAAGAUUUGUGGUGUAACCAGACUUGGCCCUCGAGAACUAAAAUCGGCUACCAUUGGUGAUGGCCGUACAUUUACCACCGUCCCAUCAAACCCGAGUAUUACUGUGGGAUUAGGAUCAGUCAUCUCAUAGUUCUUAAUCAAAUUACCAAUUUUAUACCCCACUUCCACUGUAGGCAGCAAGUGGCUGUGAGCAGACAUCUCCUUUACAGCUUGCAAGUUCACUUGUAUCAUCCCAACCCCUCCGGCUUUUCGCACCACCAGACCUUUUUCUUCGUAUCCAAUGAAUCCUAUAUCGCAGAUCACCACCUUUCCACGCACCAGUGCCGGUUCAAGCGUACCAUCCAAACAAAAAUU